AUCACUCUUAGACGAUGACAUAUCUGGAUGGAGAUCUCAACUCCGGUUUACUUUUCCCAUCCUUUUGAAUAUUUCUGGAUUCAAUAUCCCAAGAAUAGUCGACCACCGUGCCACCACACAAGUUCAGUUUGGGACCCUGACUGGACGUCCUUUUGGAGUCCUUUCUCUGCCGCAGCCGAGGAUUACACAGUCCAUUUGGCAUAUUGGAAUCACUUAGGAUACGGCUAGUUUGAC